AUUUCCUGCUUUCCCGUCAUUAAUCUUUUCCGCCGAUUUUCGCCGAGCUUUCGUUGUUGGAUCUGAAACUUGUUUGGUUCAUCUUGCGGCAACUUGAAAUCGUGCCGACGAGGUGGAACGUGGUCGUUGUAUCGUUGGAUGUAAUUGCCGGAAAGCCUCGCACGUGGAGUGGCAAUUUCGCUUCUAGGACAGUGCUCUGCACGCCUCGAUCCACAGGCCUUAUCUAAACCUUUUCUUUACAAUAUUUGUUAUUUAUUUUCUUUCUCGAAAUUUUUCUAAAUCUGAAAUUAAAUUUCGAAUUGUUUUUAAAGAAUAUUGUAAUAAAAGAUCAGAAAGAUUUUUCCAACACUCACCAC
rnacentral:lncRNA from 1 species